CAGUUUUGCCGGCUUGCAGCUAGUGUUUUUUGCAGUACGGUAGGCCUAAAAAUGGAAGGUACACCCCCAAGACACCAUCAUGUUUUGCCGGGCUGUACCUUAGUUUUUGUGGAACCAGGGAACCCAUGAAGGGGAAGGGACACUCCCAGGUAUUUGUGUAGUGUGCAUCACAGCAUUCCGUAUUGUACACACAAAAACAAAACACGAGCUAUAACAUCAAAAGCCAUGUUUGGUUUUCUUCAGUUUUGUAGCUAGUUUUUUUUUGCAGUACAGUAGGCCUACAAAUGGAAGGGACACCUCCAAGACACCAUGAUGUUUUGCCAGGCUGUACCUUAGUUUGUGUGGAACCAGGGAACCCAUGAAGGGGAAGGGACACUCCCAGGUAUUUGUGUAGUGUGCAUCACAACAUUCCGUAUUGCACACACAAAAACAAAACACGAGCUAUAACAUCAAAAGCCAUGUUUGGUUUUCUUCAGUUUUGUAGCUAGUUUUUUUUGCAGUACAG